rnacentral:rRNA from 1 species
UACGUAGGGGGCAAGCGUUGUCCGGAAUUAUUGGGCGUAAAGAGCGCGUAGGCGGCCCGGUAAGUCCGCUGUAAAAGUCACAGGCUCAACCUGUGAAUGUCAGUGGAUACUGCCGGGCUAGAGUCCGGAAGAGGCGAGUGGAAUUCCUGGUGUAGCGGUGGAAUGCGCAGAUAUCAGGAGGAACACCAACGGCGAAGGCAGCUCGCUGGGACGGUACUGACGCUGAGGCGCGAAAGCGUGGGGAGCAAACAGG